rnacentral:lncRNA from 1 species
AAAUGCCCUUUAUUUAUAUCAAUAUUAUAUUAGCAUACACCAUAGCACUUCUGGGAAUAUUAGUCUAUCGAUCCCACCUAAAAUCAUCCCUAUUAUGCCUAGAAGGCAUAAUAUUAUCAAUAUUCAUUAUAAUUACUCUUAUAACUUUAAAUAUACAUUUCGCUCUAGCAUCCACAAUACCCAUUAUUCUCCUAGUAUUUGCUGCCUGUGAAGCUGCAGUGGGCCUUGCCUUACUAGUUUCAGUCUCCAACAUAUACAGCCUAGAUUAUGUACAAAAUCUAAGUUUACUUCAAUG